AUGCUAAACCAAAAGCUAUUAAAACAAACAACUGGGUUGGGAAAACUCUCUCUCUUCCCCCUCUCUCUCCAUCUCUGUCUCUCUCCCACUCUCCCUCUCUCUGUGUCUCUCUCUGUCUGUCUCUGUCUCUCUCUCUUUCUCUCUCCCCCCUCUCUCUGUCUCUGUCUCUGUCCCUGUCUCUCUGUCUGUCUGUCUUUCUCUCUCUCCCCCCUCUCUCUGUCUCUCUCUGUCUCCCUGUCUCCCUCUCCCCUCCCUCCUUCCCUACCCCCCUCUCUCGGUCUGUCUCUCCCCCCACUCUCUUUCCCUCUCUCCAUCUGUCUCUGCCUCUCUCCCUCUCUGUCUCUCUUUCUCUCUCUCUCUCCUCCUCUGUCUCUGUCUCUCUCCCUCUCUCUCUCCUUCUCUGUCUCUGUCUCUCUCUGUCUCUCUCUCCCCGUCUCUCUCUGUCUCUCUGACUCCAUCUCCAUCUCCGUCUCACUCUCUCUCUCCUUUUCUCUCUCUCCUUCUCUCCCUCUCUGUCUCUGUUUCUCUGUCUCUCUCCCUCUCCGUCUCUUUCUCUGUCUCUGUCUCUCUCUGUCUCUGUCUCUCUCUCUCCCUCUCUCUCUCUGUCUCUGUCUGUCUGUCCGUCUCUCUUGCUCUUGUCAUCUAUCUAUUCAUGGAAAAUAUUUGAGAUCCCAGCGUCCAAAGGGAAUUGGUAGAACUAUUCGAAGGGGAGGAUAAUUAAGCAAAGAAAAAUCAGAGAAACAAUUGGGAAAGUGAAAGCAACUGAGAACUUUUGAAGUUGGUUGAUUUUUAUUAGGUACUAAGUUCAUGCUUACUCGUUAAUGUAUUAAGUUUUGAGAUGCAUUUCUGUUUUUCUGGAUGAAUUUGGUGCUAGUAUCAUAAAUAGGAUCUAGGAUUUUUUAUCUCAUCCCAACUGCUUAUUUAUCAUGAAAUUAUUAAACAGUACCUGAAUACUUUUCUCAGCAAUGGGAUGGGAAAAUGGGAAGAAGGCUGAUCGCAAAUGAAAGUAACUUUUAGAGUUGUAAUUAUAUUGAGAUAACAGAACCCACUUCAACACAUCACAGAAGUAUUUAUAUACGACGCUGAAUUUGGCCUUAACAUGUGUUAAUGCACAACUGAAAUACUCUAUACUUACAAACCCAAUUUCUGUACACACAACCCAAGUAAGCAAAGAUUAUUUCAUAUCUAGGGAUAAAUCUAUUUUAAACCUGGAAACUUCAGGAUCCAUUUUCUGCAAAAACUCCAUAUGUGAAUGCAGAAUAUAUAUAAUCAUUGAAAAGCUAAUAUAAAUAUCUAAGAAACAAACUGAGGCGAGCAGAAAUUAGUAUACUCCUCACUCUAAGCAUAUGACAAUGCCAUAUACCCAUUAUUAAUUAAUCUUAAUGAUUUUAACUGAGGAAUGUUAGAUUAUUGUUUGUUAAUAUAUAGUCAGAAUGGGGUGGAGCCAAGAUGACAGCUUAGAAGCAGCAAAAGCUGGAACUGCUUCAGGAAUCUGAAUCAAACUUUUAAAAGUACCUCAAAACAACUGAAGCCAAAGAAUCAGCAGUUUUCAAAACUCUCAGUCCAUGGGCAAAAAAAGCGCUGGGAAAUGAGCUAACAGCAAAAGAAACACCUAACCAUAGAAUAUUUUUACAGAGGCAAAGAAGAGCAUAGCAUUGAUUAAGUAGAGAACAGUGAGAGCAAAGUAGUAACAUACAAAACCUUAAAAGAAAAAUGGGAAUUGGUUUCAGGCAUAGCAAGAACUCAAAAAGAAAUUCAAAAAUUAACUGAGACAUGGAAGAAAAAUGGGAAAAAUGGAAAAAAGAAAAGGAAACAAUGCAAAAAAUACUGGAGUAAAAACCAAAUUGGGUGAAGUGGGAAAAGAGGCACAAAAAUCCUGUGAAGAAAAAAUUUUCUAAAAAAAAAUAGAACUGACUUCCUGAAAAAAGAGGUAAAACAAUCCAAUGAAGAAAAGAGUUCCAUGGACCAAAUGGAAAAGGAGAAUCCAAAGGUUAUGGAAGAAAAUCAGUCUUUAAAAUUAGAAUUAAGCAAACAGAAGCUAAUAACUUCAUGAGAGAUCAAUAAAAGAAAAGAAAAGAAAAGAAAAAGAAUAAAA
ensembl:lncRNA